UGGGGAAUUUUGCGCAAUGGGCGAAAGCCUGACGCAGCAACGCCGCGUGAGUGAUGAAGGCUUUCGGGUCGUAAAGCUCUGUCAAGGGGAAAGAAGUGUAUUGCGGUUAAUACCCGCGAUACUUGACGGUACCCCUAAAGGAAGCACCGGCUAACUCCGUGCCAGCAGCCGCGGUAAUACGGAGGGUGCGAGCGUUGUUCGGAAUUAUUGGGCGUAAAGCGCGUGUAGGCGGUUUGUUAAGUCUGAUGUGAAAGCCCCGGGCUCAACCUGGGAAGUGCAUUGGAUACUGGCAGACUUGAAUACGGGAGAGGGCAGUGGAAUUCCUGGUGUAGGAGUGAAAUCCGUAGAUAUCAGGAGGAACACCGGUGGCGAAGGCGGCUGCCUGGACCGAUAUUGACGCUGAGACGCGAAAGCGUGGGUAGCAAACAGGAUUAGAUACCCUGGUAGUCCACGCCGUAAACGAUGAGUACUAGGUGUUGCGGGUAUUGACCCCUGCAGUGCCGCAGCUAACGCAUUAAGUACUCCGCCUGGGAAGUACGGUCGCAAGACUA
rnacentral:rRNA from 1 species